AGAAAAUGUCAAUUGGCAAUUAUUAUUCUUCUUGUUAUUUUCUGUUUUUAUUGUUGUUGAGAAGAAAAUUUUGUUAAGAAGAAGAGAAGAUCAAGUACUCUUCAUCAAUGCAACUUUAAAUAACAGUGCAUGCCUCUGCAUGUGGACUUCACAGACUAGGUUGUAAAAUUGGCAAUGAUUGUGAUUUCUUUUCCCUUUUUUUUCUUUGUAGUGUGAAUUGUUAGCUUUUUU
rnacentral:misc_RNA from 1 species